rnacentral:rRNA from 1 species
UUAUCCUGGCGUCAGGAUGAACGGCUGGCGGCAUGCCUAAUACAUGCAAGUCGAACGAGAGACCUUCGGGUCUCUAGUGGCGAACGGGUGAGUAACACUAGGGAACCUGCCCGUGCACCGGGAAUACGCUCUGGAAACGGAGAACAAAUCCCGAUGUACAGGAAGGAGGCAUCUUCUUUCUGUGAAACAUCCUUUAGGGGAUGGGGCGCGGAUGGACCUGCGGUGCAUUAGUUGGUUGGCGGGGUAAAGGCCCACUAAGACGAUGAUGCAUAGCCGGCCUGAGAGGGCGGACGGCCACAUUGGGACUGAGACACGGCCCAGACUCCUGCGGGAGGCAGCAGUAGGGAAUUUUCGUCAAUGGGCGCAAGCCUGAACGAGCGAUGCCGCGUGAGUGAAGAAGGCCUUCGGGUCGCAAAGCUCUGUUGCGGGGGAAAAAAGGCAGCAUCAGGAAAUGGGUGCUGACUGAUGGUGCCCCGCCAGAAAGUCACGGCUAACUACGUG